AUGAUACUCCCUCCGUUCGGAAUUACUUGUCGCGAAAAUGGAUGUAUCUAGAUGUAUUUUAGUUCUAGAUACAUCCAUUUCCAAGACAAAUAAUUCCGAACGGAGGGAGUACCAA
rnacentral:pre_miRNA from 1 species